CUCGAGGCUAGAGUCACGCUUGGGUAUCCGCUGUUGCCUCAGUGUGCUAGAGUCCUCGAAGAGUAACCGCUGAGCUUAUUCACUGGCUGCGCCCCCUGUGGCAUAGCCAGUCACCAGGUUAGUGACAUGC
ensembl:snoRNA